AUAGUUUGCCAACAUUGGUUGUUAUUUUCAUUCAUUUCCUAGAGGGACUGUUUAUUACAAAAAACAAGGAGCACCAUGUAAAGCUGAACUGUGUACUUACCAAUAUUUUUGUAGUAAAUAGGUACAAAGACAUUGAUUGCCCUCUCAAUUCCCAGGAGCACCAAACAGAAAAGGACAAGCAGCUGCAGCCAGAUGCUACCCCGAGGCCACAUGUACGGUAAAAGCAGCCGCAACUUCUUCCUGAAGUCCUGCCAGGUGGACUGGUUCUGGCCCGGUCUGCCCAGGAGGCUCUGACGUGGAGACAACGAGCCUUUUAGAAUAAGCAGGAGGACAGAGGGACAUUUUGCACGUCAGCACCUGUGCGCUCUGCUCUACGUCUCGCUCGUCUUCAUUUAUCAGCAGUAUGUAAGGUCUCCGUGGCAACCCUGGGGCUCUGAUGCCAACAAAGAAUAGCAGUCCCGUGCCCACAUAGCGAAUCAACCACAAGGCAAACUGGACCUGGGGGGUUCAUUGACACUUAAAACAACAACAACAACAUCAUCAUCAUCAUCAUCAUGGCGGUAAAAGUGCAGCGUGUGACACAGCAAGCGGGCAAAAGGAGUGAUCACUAAAGAUAACGCCGUCAGAGUGAUGCAUGCAACUUCAAGUGCUUGGAGUGGGAGGGGCAAGAUGUGGCCUCCUGGAAAGUCAGACUCACUCAAUGACUCGGCAAAAAAGGAGUGCAGCCUGCACCUCUCAUCUUCUCAUGUUGAGAAACCGGACUGACAACAUGCACUUGAGUGGAACGACAACUACGCAGGCACGCCUUUAAUGACAAACCUUUGACACUGUUAAGAAAGUCGCCACUAUCAAACAUGAUAACAAACAUUGUGCAAAUACUUAAUGACAGCGAGCAAUAUUUGGAAGAGUUAACAACACAAUUGUGGGGAAAGCUGAAAUAUGGACAUGCAUUGUAAAAAGCAACCCUGGAACUAUAGAAAUAAAAAAAGUACACUUGAUGCAGUCCAGUUCUACCAGUAUUCUCUAGUACUGCAGACUACAACCACAAGAAUGUGUGUGCCUUUUGUGUAGUUUUUGUAAUUCAACCUCUCAAGGUUAUCUUAAAUGUAAUUAUUUCCUCAACUCUAGAUCUGAUAGUAGACAUACUGCACAACUCAAAAUGUGAAUUGUCCCACUUCAGGCAAUAUUUUUUGUGUACAAGGAUCCUAUGGCAAAGUUGACUCAUUUGAGUAUCAAGACCAAAGUAACAGUUUUAGCAUAAAAUUAGCUAAAACGUGAAAUUUAGCCAGAUAGUAUUCAUGCUAAUAGCAUAUUUGCACUAAGCACAUUACCGCGAUUGAACAAAAAUAACACAAAAAAAAACUCCAUCAAAAUAUUAAUUAGCUACCAGGACUGUGUUGGGAUUUUAGUCGUAGUUAAAACCAGCAAAUCUAAGAAACUUAUUAUUGCAACGUUUUUAACAUGACUUGAGUGAAAGCCUAGAGACACAUGUUAAUGGAAUUUCAUUUCUCCUGGACGUAAUUUGCACUGGUUUUGUAAAAUGGCCAAAAAUAUUGUUGAAUUAACACGGCAACAGUGGCGUUCUAAAAGCUACAUUUUUGAUACAGCUUUAGAUCUCGACUACUGGUAAUAUUGUGGUAAGUGCAUCAAUAUAUAUUCUCUUACCUGUUGCUGAUUGUCCUGCAAGUCCCACCACCAAUGUGGACUAUACCAGGAGAUAAAUGCCAGGUUCUCUGCUGCAAACGCCACUGCCCAGAACAACAGCAGCGCUGUGCUGUGUCCCCGCGUCCGGUCCAUCAAAAGAACUCGUCGCCUCUCUAUUCUGAGCAAGGCAACGGCCCAAGCCCAAGCCAGGGCACAGAAGCAGCCGUACAGAACCACAUAGCCAGGCAACUGUCCUCCUUCGGUGGCUCGCCACACCAUCCCACCCACAAACUGAACCAGGAGAAGGAUGGAGACCACCUGCUGGAGUCCGUAGAGGCGAGAGCGAGGAAUGAACUUGGGCUCCAUCGCUGUGCCAUA